UACGGAGGGUGCGAGCGUUGUCCGGAAUUAUUGGGCGUAAAGAGCGUGUAGGCGGUUUGGUAGGUCCGCUGUGAAAACUCGAGGCUCAACCUCGAGACGCCGGUGGAAACCAUCAGACUAGAGUCCGGAAGAGGAGAGUGGAAUUCCUGGUGUAGCGGUGAAAUGCGCAGAUAUCAGGAAGAACACCCGUGGCGAAGGCGGCUCUCUAGUACGGUACUGACGCUGAGACGCGAAAGCGUGGGGAGCGAACAGG
rnacentral:rRNA from 1 species